GGGAGGGGCUGGAGGACCGGGACUAGGGAAGAGGAAGCAGCGCCCUGGUCCUGAAAGUCUACAGUUUUGGUGACCAUGGAGAGAACCAGAGCAGACUUCUCCUCUUCGCCUGAACUCUACGAGGAACCGGACCCUUGGUACUGGCAGAGGCUUCUUGUGCCCAUCCGCCUCCUUGGAGAGUUCAUACGAACUUGGGUGAGUCUCUCCUGGUUCUUGGAUCUCCUGAUUAUUGGUUGAUUAUCCUGAGUUUUAUUUGGCAGUGUCUAGCAGAUGCCUGGCUCCCCAGUUGAAAGACAUUGGGGAGUGACCUCCCUAGUUGAAAGAUACUAGGGGAGCACAGUUGUGAAAGACACUGGAAGAAAAUGCCCACCAGCUGAAAGAUACUGGGGGAACCUGGUUGGAAGACACUUGGAUUUGCUCAGUUGAGAAGAUAUUUGGGGACUUCCCUGGUGGUCCGGUGGUUAAGCCUCUGCGUUUCCGCUGCAGGGGGCACGGGUUCCAUCCCUGGUCAGGGAACUAAGAUGCCACACCGCGCGGCCAAAUAAAAAAAAAAAGUACUGAGCAGUCUGGGCUGAAUGUUUAGAUAAGAGGGUGACCCGAUGUUUUCCUCAAAUUGGCUACCUUAAUAAGAAUUUGUCAGGAUAAGAGUGCAAUAGUAAAUUUUAUCCCCAACGAAUUCAGCUUUAAAACGGGAAAUAGAUUCUCUCAAACAAAAACGAAGGGCAUCAGAAAACCAACCUCCGAUUAACACUCCAUCCAGAUUCAUGAAUGUACUGAGCUCAUACUUGCAAGUACCUACUUAAUUGGGAGUCAGAGGAAAUCUCACCCUGAAAAUGACUCAGAUUGGGCUCAUUUAUUGAAUACGCAGUUAAGUUACAAAAAGCCGGCUUGAUAAAAACAUCUUUUCAAAAUUCUGACCUUAAAAAAACAAAAACAAAUAAAAGCCCUUCCGGGGGAAGUUUAAUUUCUCUUUCUGUGUCUUUGAGAUGUAAAUGUUCUACUUGAUCUUCUUCCAGCCUUUUGCGUGUAUGGCUUUUGAGAACUUGGUCUCUGCCAUCCAAAAGGUGCACAUAUGGUGUACAUUUGGCAGCCAAUCAAAUAGACUGGGAUUCUGAGCAGUCUUUUGUCUAGCUGUACCAACUCUCGGGGAUUUUUUGCCAUUUUAACCUUCAUUUGCGUCAGCCUGUACAACAAAGGCCUUUACUUUCUUAGACUAUUUUUGGGAAUAAACUUUCUGGAUCUUGUUUAGGCAGCAGCCUUCACACUCUCUUGCGGGGAAUGCCUCUUGCAUCUUAUUGGUUUGAGUCACUAUUAAGAUACAUCUUAUUAAUGGCCAGAUGAUGGAGCCUUUAAAUUGGGAAAACUCUGAAUUGGUAAAGUUUUAGGGAGCUCUCAUUAUAACUAGCUGUUUUAUUAGUACCUACGAGGAAAAAAAAGUGGGAAAAAUAUGUGUAAUGGUUAACCUAAAAACUCCCUUAGUUUAAAACAACCCCCCACCCCCCAAAAAAUGGUUUGGGAAGCCUUAUUGUGGUCUCUCCUUUCCCUCAGUGGGUCUUAUGGAUAACAAUAAAAACAAUAAUUAAUUUUAAUUAGGUUAACAGGAAAACAAGAAAAAAGUGAAGGGAAAGUCUAGGGACUUUUUCCCAACAAGUUGGAAAUUUUAAGGUGGUUACUUAAAAAUGGAAUAAAUAAAACAGAUGUUAAUGGGAUUAAAUUAAAGGUUUGAUACAAAACUACCUAAAGUUGGAUGGGCCAAAGGGACGCACUAUUGGUUCCCAACAUUAAAGGGCCCCAAACAAGUCUGCUCUAUUUACCCCAGUUUAAAAAUAUAUAUUUAAAGGGCUGGAAAAAAUUACACUGAGAUACUUGACCAACAAUUACUUGGGGCAACAGGCCAAUUAAUCAACUUGAAAGAUUGACAAAAGCGCCUGAAUUCCUUGGUGCCCACUGGACCACCAGGGGAGUCCCUGUCUUGCAAAUCUUGACAACAGAAAUGUAAAUACAGCCCACAGAAACCUGAGACUGAGCCUAAUUAACUCAAUCAG
rnacentral:lncRNA from 1 species